rnacentral:rRNA from 1 species
CAAUAGCGUAUAUUUAAGUUGUUGCAGUUAAAAAGCUCGUAGUUGGAUUUUGGGUCGGGGGCACCGGUCCGCCGUUCCGGUGUGCACUGGUGGCCCCUUCCUUUCUGCCGGGGACGUGCGUCGCACUUAAUUGGGUGGCGUUCGGAGUCGGCGUUGUUACUUUGAAAAAAUUAGAGUGUUCAAAGCAAGCCAUCGCUCUGAAUACAUUAGCAUGGAAUAACAUGAUAGGACUCCGGUCUUAUUUUGUUGGUUUCCGAGACUGGAGUAAUGAUUAAGAGGGACAGUCGGGGGCAUCCGUAUUUCAUUGUCAGAGGUGAAAUUCUUGGAUUUAUGAAAGACAAACUUCUGCGAAAGCAUUUGCCAAGGAUGUUUUCAUUAA